AAACAAUGUAAUCUUUUGAAACUCUCUUUUAUUGAAACUCUUGUUUAUUUAUAUGCUUGUCAUAUGCUUUGAUUAUCAAUUGUUGGGUUCUCAUCUGUGCUUAAAGCUUUUAUCGUUUAACUCAUUCGAUAAUUGUUGUUUGUCUUUAUUGAUACGGGGACUUACGGUACUGUCAUGAACUGGUGAGAAAUUCCUUGAUUAAGCAAUACAAACCUAGGGAUAGGGGGUAGGACGAUCAAUUGUUUUUGCUUCUGUUCUUAACGCGUUAUUAAUUGCUAGGGGAGGCUAGGGAUAAUAAGCCAGUAAUUAAUAAUAGGCUCUUUUCGCCGAGGGAUCGGGUUAAGGGUAGGCCAAGAAAGUUUGCAUAACAAUUAGAUAAUCAAACACAUUAAACAAGAGGAGUAGAUAAGAGGGAGCGGAUAAGAUGAUAUUGUCAACCCCCAACAACUCCAUUCAUCCAUAGUCUUUUUCUUGUCAACUGAAUCAAACGCAUUGCAUGUUUAAUUUCUGUUUUUGCAUCCACAGCAAUUAAUUUUGUUUACAAGUCUUACGAUCUCAAUUCACACGAACGAUAAGGCCUUUCGAGUCUCUUGGGAAGAACGAUAUCGGGCAUUACCGAUUAUAUUACUUGAACGAUCUGGUACACUUGCCAGUGAGUCAACAAGUUUUUGGCGCCGUUGCCGGAGACUCGAGGUUAACUUUUUCAAGUAGUGUGAUUUGAUUGACAUUUGAUUUGUUUGUAAUUAUUUUACUUUUAUUCUGUUUUGCUUAAUUUUGUUUUUAUUUUCUAUAAAAGCGCUUUUAGGGUGUGUUUCUUGUGUAUGCAGGAAACAAUACAUACUAGAAGCAAAAAAGAC
rnacentral:lncRNA from 1 species